rnacentral:rRNA from 1 species
AUGGCGGAGGAACCGUCCGCCAAGCGUCAUCAUGGCGAGAUGUCGGACAAGACUAGCAACCUCGUCGACGUUCACGUCCCCGACGAGAAGCGCGAGCACACCACAACACUCACAGGGGUUGAGCUCCACGGCAAGGAGAUGGUGGAGAUCGUCUGCACCAGCAAACGAGACAAGGCCGACGAGAUGAUCUCCAGGCUCUGGAGGAAGGCCGGCGGCAAGCUUCGUAAGAUCGUCGGCGUUGGUGUGCACUACACCAGCGAAAAUGAACCUCCCCAGAUGGCAGCAGUCCUGCAGUUGUGCGUCGAUGAGCUCUGCUCGGUGUACCACAUCGCAGCGGCCACAAAAUGGUGA